AUACGGAGGGUGCAAGCGUUACUCGGAAUCACUGGGCGUAAAGCGCGCGCAGGCGGGCUGAUAAGUUGGAUGUGAAAGCCUACGGCUCAACCGUCGAACUGCAUCCAAAACUGUCAGUCUAGAGUGUGGGAGAGGAAGAUGGAAUUAGUUGUGUAGGGGUAAAAUCCGUAGAGAUAACUAGGAAUACCAAAAGCGAAGGCAAUCUUCUGGAACACUACUGACGCUGAGGCGUGAAAGCGUGGGGAGCAAACAGGAUUAGAAACCCCGGUAGUCC
rnacentral:rRNA from 1 species